AAAAAAAAAAAAAAAAAUCAUCAGUCCAACUCUGCAAUAAUUAGUAAUUAAUGGCUCAAAUUCAUAAGCUUCAAGGUGAACUUGAAGUGAAGUGUCAUGCUGAUAAGUUAUACACCACGAUAACUCGUGAUGCGUCUAGUCUCCCAAAAUAUCUUCCUCAAAUCAUCCACAAGUGCCAAGUUUUCCCCGAAGAUGGUGAAAUUCGUGUGGGUAGUAUUUUUGUCCGGGACUAUUUUUGUCCGGGACUAUGUGAUCGAGGGGAAAGCUUCUACUGUCACGACGAAAGAGAAGAUAUUCUAUAAUGUCUAAAAAUACUAGACAUGCAUUCAAAUAAAGUUAUAACGUGGAUUCACCACACACUUAUCUAAUCUAAUUAAGGACACAAAGGGUAAGGAGGUGUGCAGAGCUCAGACUCUCACUGACGUGGAGGUGAUGAGCAUCAAAGAAGGAAUUCAAUGGUCAAAUCAGCUUGCCAACAACGCCACUCACAUAAAAAGGAACCUCGCAGUAGAGUCAUCAUGCCAUCAAGGGAGCAAUAACAUUUUCAAAUCUGCAAAUCAGACAGCUUUUGCAUUGGUUUCAAACUUCAAAGCAACAUAGUUUUGAUGGUUAUUUUUCUAGUUUAAUUUUUAGUUUUCUUGCGGACAGAGUGAUAACUCAAAUGUGCGAGGAGUACAUGUGGUACAUGAGGGUAUUUUUGUCUGAAUCGGAAAAAUAUAUCGAGUUGGUCCUAGUUAACGAGUCGACAACGAUUUUUACGCUCCUCAAAUCACAUUUUGCUCUCCCUUUAACAAAAAUUUUAUUUAUUUACUUAUAUUUUGGUAAUCUAAAUUUUAUAUAUAAGUGGUAUUACCCGUAUUAAAUCUAAAUUAAAUCUAAAAACAUUUAUUCGUUUUCCUUUAUUCAUUAGAUCAAUGUUUUUGUACGUGUGCGGGGAAAAUAUGUGGU